rnacentral:rRNA from 1 species
UACGGGGGGGGCAAGCGUUGUUCGGAAUUACUGGGCGUAAAGGGCUCGUAGGCGGCCAACUAAGUCGGAUGUGAAAUCCCCAGGCUCAACUUGGGAACUGCAUCCGAUACUGGAUGGCUUGAAUCCGGGAGAGGGAUGCAGAAUUCCAGGUGUAGCGGUGAAAUGCGUAGAUAUCUGGAGGAACACCGGUGGCGAAGGCGGCAUCCUGGACCGGUAUUGACGCUGAGGCGCGAAAGCCAGGGGAGCAAACGGG